AAUGGGAUGGGAAGGGGUGGGUGUGUACUAACCACGGCGACACCUUCUCCAUCCCCUGCUCGCCCCUUCCCUUUAUAUAUAUAUAUAUAUAUAUAAAAAUACCAAGAGUGGUAUGAAUUGAACCUUUGCCUUUGAACUCUGAAUUCCCCUCCCCUUCCAUUCCCUCCUUUCAUCACUUCUUCGCAAACUCACAAAUCUGAGAAUCGCCUAAUAAGGAAGAAUUCAGAGGCAGAAUCCUUCAAUUUCAUCAUACGAUCAUCGAUCUUCGAUUCGCUUUCUCCACUAAUAGAUAAGCGGUAUGUAACUGUAACUGUAAUUGUAUUUGUAUUUUUAAUGGCGAGGGAAAGUAAGAGAGAGGCUCUAGAGGUGGGGAGAGUUGUGGGAGAUGUUGUGGAUCCUUUCACCCGAUCCAUCAGUCUCCGAGUGAUUUACAGCAGCUGCGGAGAGGUCACCAAUGGCGGCGAUCUGAGGCCUUCGCAGGUCGUGGCUCAGCCUAGGGUUCAGAUUGGGGGGGACGACCUUCGCACCUUCUAUACUCUGGUUAUGGUGGACCCGGACGCUCCCAGCCCCAGCAAUCCCAGCCUCAGGGAAUACCUCCACUGGUUGGUAACUGAUAUUCCUGCAACUACUUCCGCCACUUUUGGUCAGUAUUUAUUUAAAGGGCAAGUUUCCAUUAAAUUCCGACGGCUAUCCGAAAGCGCGCACUGGAUAAACCCCAGGCCCGACGGGAAAGUCGAACCAUGUGUGGCAGGUGACCUGAGGCGUCGGGGGGUUUGAACCCAUGGCCUCAUGGUCACAAAUCCAACCGCUACACUACCAGGCUAUGGUUCUUUUUAUGAGUUUGGAAAAAUUUUGGUUUGAGGCAAGAGAUAGUGUGCUACGAGAGCCCCCGGCCGACGAUGGGAAUCCACCGGUUCGUACUGAUGGUGUUCCGGCAGCUUGGGCGGCAGACAGUGUAUGCGCCAGGGUGGCGCCAGAACUUCAACACCCGCGAGUUUGCGGAGCUUUACAAUCUCGGAUCUCCCGUUGCCGCCCUCUACUACAAUUGCCAACGGGAGACCGGCACCGGUGGCCGAAGAUUAAUGUCGACUUCAUCGUCAUCUUCCUCGAGCUACACUUCGAAUUAAUUUAUCUCUAUAGGCUUUGCUUUGUGUUUGAAUUUAGUAUUAAAAUGAUGUACGAUAACAUAUUCUGUGAAAAAAAAAAAAUUUGAAAAAUACAAUUCUUCUUCAAAUCAUCAUGUUAUCAUUUAGGGAACAUUAUUAUUAUUAUUAUUAUUAUUGUUAUUAUUAUUAUA